GGGCCCGUAGCGCAGUGGCUAGCGCGUCAGUUUUCGGUUUUAUCAGUCGACGCUGAAGAUCAUCGGUUCGAUCCCGGUCGGGCUCU